GGGGGGGGGGGGGGGGGGGGGUGGGGGGGGGGGGUGGGGGGGGGGCGGGGGGGGGGGUGGCGGGGGGGGGCGUAACGCGUGGGAGCGUGCGCUUAGGUUGGGCAGAACUCCCGGAGGGGGGCGCUCCUAGCUGAGAAUGUCUUCGGACCAAAGAUGGACCGCCUUUGGAUGGGCCCGUGUUGGAUUAGUGAGUGGGUAGGGUAAACGCCUACCAAGGCGACGAUCCAUAGAUGGUCUGAGAGGAUGAUCAGGCACACUGGGACUGAGACACGGCCCAGACUCCUACGGGAGGCAGCAGUGGGGAAUAUUGGACAAUGGGCGAAAGCCUGAUCCAGCAAUGCCGCGUGAGUGAUGAAGGCCUUAGGGUUGUAAAGCUCUUUUACCCGGGAUGAUAAUGACAGUACCGGGAGAAUAAGCUCCGGCUAACUCCGUG
rnacentral:rRNA from 1 species